UACGUAGGUGGCAAGCGUUGUCCGGAUUUAUUGGGUUUAAAGGGUGCGUAGGCGGCCCUGUAAGGCAGUGCUGAAAUAUCCCAGCUUAACUGGGAGGGUGGCAUUGAUACUGCGGGGCUAGAGUACAGAUGAGGUAGGCGGAAUUGACGGUGUAGCGGUGAAAUGCUUAGAUAUCGUCAAGAACACCUAUAGCGAAGGCAGCUUACUAGGCUGUAACUGACGCUGAGGCACGAAAGUGUGGGGAUCAAACAGG
rnacentral:rRNA from 1 species